GGCGUAGCUCAAUGGACAGAGCACCAGCGUCAUGUCACCCGCGGAGGGUGGCCGACUAUGCGGAGUGGACGCCGCCAUAGUACACCGCUGGAGAUCCCGGUUCGACUCCGGGCACCGCCC
rnacentral:tRNA from 1 species